rnacentral:rRNA from 1 species
UACGUAGGGGGCAAGCGUUGUCCGGAUUCAUUGGGCGUAAAGAGCGUGUAGGCGGCCAUACAGGUCAGCUGUGAAAACUCGAGGCUCAACCUCGAGACGUCGGUUGAAACCGUAUGGCUAGAGUCCGGAAGAGGAGAGUGGAAUUCCCGGUGUAGCGGUGAAAUGCGCAGAUAUCAGGAGGAACACCGGUGGCGAAGGCGGUUCUCUGGGCAUGAUCUGACGCUGAGGAGCGAAAGUGUGGGGAGCGAACAGG